rnacentral:rRNA from 1 species
AUGGAGAUCACCAAGGUCGACCUCCGCGGACUGGAGCCUGGCGGCCCAGGCUGGGGGGAAGCACGGGACGCGGUGACCGCGUCCAUGUUUGCGCACGGCUUCGUCGUCGUCGCGCACGACGCGCUCGGCCCGGAGCUCCGUCAGGGGCUAUUCGGUCGCGCCAUGCCGGAGAUGUUCGCGCUCCCGGUGGAGGCCAAGCAGCGGAACGUCUCCGCCAUGGGGCCGUUCACAGGCUACAUCUCAAACAUCCCCGGCAUGAACUGGGAGAGCCUGUGCCUCUCCGACGUCACCGAUGCCGACCGCGUCCGUGACUUCGCCGACCUCCUGUGGACGCAUGGGAACCCUGCCUUCUGCGACACAAUUGUGUCGGCAGCCAAGAACGUGUUUGAACUCCAGCGGACGGUGGAGAAGAUGGUCCUGGAGGGCCUCGGCGUCCAGGAGGAGCACAUCGACGCGCACUUCGACGCGCUGGCCCACUCCGCCCGGCUGUCGCGCUACGGCGUCCCGCCCGAUUCGCGGACCUGCAUGUCCCUGCAGGCGCACUGCGACGACAGCGUGACCACCACGAUCGUGCAGCACGGGGUGGAAGGCCUGGAGGUGCAGGCCAAGGACGGGAGCUGGCUCGCCGUGCCGCCUGAUCCGGCAACGUUCGCCUUCGUGGCCGGCGAGUUGUUGACGGUCGUGACCAACGGAAGGGUGCCGCCGUGCCUCCACCGUGUCAGAACGCCGAGCAACCGUGAGCGCCUGGCAGUGCUGUUCUCUGCCGGGGGAAGAACGGAGUUGAGCGCGAUGGACGAGGUCGUGGACAAAGACCACCCUCUGGUGUACGGGCCGUGUAAGAACGACGACUACACCAAGUUCCGGCACUCGGAAGAAGGGCGCAAAUUCACUGAUCCAUUGAAGGCUUUCUGUGGGGUAGAGAAGGAUGGAGGAUCGCCCAUGGAGUGA